rnacentral:sRNA from 1 species
GAACACGAACUGCUGGGAGUGGUCCCAUG